UUUAAACCUCCUGGCUCCUCUUGUUCUUCAAUGGCAGUUCAUGCUAGGGUUUAUUCAUCCUUCAGGGUCGAAGAUUCCCUGCCUGUAUAUCUCAUCUUUUAUUGGUAUAGUUAUGCUCUGUUUGGUUGCCAAGAAAAGGUAAAUAAGUGAAACAGAAUAUUUCGAAUUUUGUGUUUUUCUUCUUUUACUUGGAAGCUGAAUGAAAAUUCAAAUCCUCAACAAGAAAAAGAAAUUCAGGCUUAGUCUGCGAAAGUUUAAAAUUGAUGCAACAAAGUGAGAGGCUUUUUCAGAAAUUUUCUUUUCUUUUCUUUUCUCUAUUAAUCUCUGCGACCAAACCAAUCCUAGCUUUCACUAAAUGAAAUUCUACUUCAAUCUCUCAAUCUAUCUAGCUUUAUUUCACCUAUUUUGGUUACAAAAUUCCACUUCUUCUUUAACCUGCAAUGCUUCUUUGUACUGUUCCUACAGCCAAUUAUUCGAAUAGAAUUUGCAAAAUUGUUCGUUUCUUUGUCAAUUUUUCUUCCUCCUGUGCUCUUAGAACCAUCGAUUUUGUAGAAGAGAGCAGUACCCAUGAUUGUGAUUACAUCAAAUUACAGCGUAGAAUGCAGAAUUAUGCCACCUCAGGUCACUUUAGAAAAGCUCUAGAAACUUUGAGUUCUAUGAGAAAUGCACCUGGAAAGCCUACUGUGUAUGAUUACAAUUCUUUGAUGUACUGCUAUUUGAGGUCACGGAAUGUGUUGUUGGAAGAGUUGGUUGAAGUUUAUCUUGGGAUGAAAAAAUUUGGGCCAGCCCCUAACGCCUUAACUUUCAAUGUGCUUCUUAAUGGGAUGUUAUCCCUUGGUAAUUUGAAAGACAUGUUUUUUGUUGCCAAUGAGAUGUGUGGAAGUGGGUUUGUACCGUCAUUUACAAUGUUAUUGAAAGUGUUGAAAAAAUCACUUGAAUUGGGAAGUUUGGAUUGUUCACUUGAUGUAUUUCGGUUAAUGCUGAGGUUGGAGUAUUUCCCAACUGAAGCCGUUUUGAACUUGUUGAUUUCUUUGCUCACCAAAGCUAGGAUGAUUCGUGAGGCAUAUUCCGUGUUAUCUGCUCUUCUGGGUAAAGGUUAUUUUUGUAGUGUGUAUAGUUACAAUCUCAUUCUAUGGGCUUUAUGUAAGUCUGGUCAGAGUUAUGCAGCUUUGGAAUUGUUUUGUUUGAUGAAGAAGAAGGGUAUUGUCCAAAAUGUAUGCACUUAUACUGCUUUAGUGUAUGGGUUUGGUAGAGAAGGUUUUGGGGAUGAUCUUUUUCGUUGUUUAAAUAUAAUGCAAAGUGAUGGUUUUAAGCCAAAUCUCAGAACGUACACUAUAAUUAUUAAGUUUCUUUGUGAUGCUGGUAGGGUUGAGGUGGCAUUGGAAUACUUGGGUAGGAUGGAAAGAGAAGGAUGUGAUCCAGACUUGAUUACAUAUAAUAUAAUUCUUCGUGAACUUUGUCAUCAAGAUAAAGUGGGAAAAAUAUGUCAGCUUGUUCAGGUGAUUGAUCAAAGAGGGUUUUCACCCAAUCCAUACACCUAUGCUGCCUUGGCUGGAGGCAUGUUAAAAGUAGGCAAAAUAGGGAUGGCUCACAAAAUACUGCUUGAUGUGAUAUCAAGGGGCUGUACUCUGGAUGUUGCUGUAUAUAAUAUAUACUUCAAUUGUUUGUGUUGUGAUAAUAGAUCAAGAGAGGCGUUGUCUCUGUUGAAGAGUAUGAUGAAAGAUGGCUUUACGCCAAGUAUUGUAUGUUAUAACACAAUUCUAAAAGGUUUUUGUAGGGAGAAUAGUAUUGAAGAAGCUUUGGAGCACUUGGACUCUUUUGAGUGGGAAAAUAAGGGACCUGAUGUAGUUUCUUUCAAUACAAUUUUGUCUGCAGCAUGCAAACAGGGUAACUCUUCGGUGAUUCAGAGGAUUUUGUUUCGUAUGGAGCAUGAAGGGGUUGAGCUUAAUGUUGUUAGUUCAACUUGCUUGAUUCAGUAUUUCUGUACAGUGGGGAAAUUUUCAGAAUGUUUGAAAUUAAUGGAAUACAUGAUGCGUAAUGGCCCUACUCCCACUACAAUCGCUCUUAAUAUGCUGCUGGACAAACUCUGUAAAAAUGGGUUACUAAGAAGUGCUCACGGGAUUUUUGAAUAUCUUAGGAACACUGCAUGUGUACCUGAUACGACUUCAUAUAAUAUUCUUAUACGUGCUUUCAGAAGGGAGGGUAAUAGCAUGCUGGUUGGUCAACUGUUUAGGGACAUGUACACCCAGGGGCUAAAACCAGAUGUUUAUACCUGUGGGUCCUUGACAAGGGGCCUUAGUAGGAAGGGAAGCUAUUAAUUGCUCUCCAGCUGAGGGAUUUGAUGCUAGAGAAUGGGCUUACUCCAAGUACUGCAAUUUACAGUACCCUAUUGAAGGCAAUGUUCCAGAGAGGUCAGGUUUGUGCGUUCAUCUCAUUGCUGAUAACUAAGGUAAUGGAAGGGUGCCAACCUAAUGAGCAAACUUUUGAAAUUCUUAACUGAGCAAGGGGUUGGAUGAAGAAAUAUCCGGAAGUUACAAAACUUCUAGGGAUUUUGCCAAUGCAGCAAUUUUAAGAAAGGGACUCGGCACGAGCAAUAACAAGUUAAUUAAUACAGAAUCGUCGAGCUUGCUACUCCCACAUCAUCUGAAUUUCCCGAGAAGAACACACCUUUAAUCAGGAUAAAUUUGUCUCAGGUAUCUUGUCUGUCAAAUCCUUUGGAUAUGUGAAUAAGUACUAUCAGAGGUCCCUUAUGUUCUACAGUCUCGGGAUAGGUCUAUCAAGUACAAAAUCAUGUUGUCCUAGUAUCACAUUACUAUUUUUUUGUCGGAGAUUACUGAUGAUGUUGCUUGGUAUGUCUAGUGCAUUCUUUAAUCAAAUGCUUGAGAGUUGCUCCUGAAGCUUCAGAUGCAUUAAGGAACUGCUAAUCUUGUGCUCACUUAAACUGGAUCUCUCCUGCUUCAUAAACUCAUCCUCGCUUCCAAUUUUCUAUUUUUGUGCAGAAUGUAAUGAGCUCGUUGGCCGUUCCUGGAUUCCAAACUGUUGACAUCGGGAUUAAUGUCCAUGUAUCCAGGGAAUUCCUGGAGUCAGUUGAGAAUAAUGGUAUAUGUCUGUAUCCCCGCCUGGCAAGUUGAUGCUCCCCAGCUGUUCUCGUUCACCAUAUGCAGAGCUUUUGAGACAUGCCCGGGGAGAACCAUCGUCAAUAAUGGCAAGUGCUUGUUCUUAAACAGCUGAGAAUUUCUUUUGCCAACCUAGUGAAGAUGAAUCCUGCCUUCCAAAUGAUUCAUCUCUCCUCUUUGACAAGCUAUUUCUAAAUUAUGUAUGUUGAAAGAAAAAUGCUACACAUACUCUUACUCCCAUACUCCUACUUGCACAUUUCUUGGUGUGGUACUAAACAUCACCAUUGGAUCCAAAAUUUCAAUCAAAAUCUAAUGAUAAUUUUUAGUACCACAUUAGGGAGUGGGAGUGAGAGAUAUACAUUAUGCGUAAACCUUUUGGAUGACAAGGAUCUCCCCUGGUUUGGUUUUGGACUGUAUUAGCAGUUAGAUGCAGAGUGGUGUUGAUUAUUACUAUAAAGCAUGAUCAAUAAGAAAUGUCUUUAUUUUUAUGACACAAGCAAGAACCUUGUCAAGCACUUGCAAUAAGCCAUAUGGUGUCCCUACCUUCUCAGUUCUCAGUGCCCUACUCGCUUACAGGAGUUUGACUUGUAGUUCUCAGAGACAAGAGAGAAAGUGUGAGAGCUGAGCAAAAGGUUCCAGUUUGAUGAUCUGGGUGUUCUUGAAAAGGGUCAAAUUUUGAAGAUUUAGGGGGGGUUUGGAUCGAACAUCUUAUUGGGUUCAGAUCAGAAAU